rnacentral:lncRNA from 10 species
UGGGUGGCCAGGCGGAGACGCUCCUCACUUCCCAGACGGGGUGGCAUGACCUUGGCAUCUUUUCUAUCACUGGUAACUAUGCUAAAUGGCUGCUGGGAACAGCGACAGUCCUUCUGGCUGAAGGCGUACGUGGAGGUGAUGGAAUCACCAGAGUCCAGAAUCAUGGAGAAGAGAACUACCUGGGCCAGUCCUGAGACCACAAAUGAAACACCACCUAAAAUAGAUGCUAGGAUUACUGAAGGGCUGCUACUAAGCAGGUGAAAGGACUCCUUGCUGUGGGUGCUGGAAAUGCUAAAAGAUGAUGAUGAAAUGCCCAUUGUUCCUUGCUGCUGGAAAAUGCCAAUAGAAACUAAAAUAAAAAAG